rnacentral:rRNA from 1 species
CCCAAGACUGAAAACUCAAAGGAGUGGAGGGGGGCCCGCACACAGCUGUGGAGCAUGUGGUUUAAUUUGAAGCAACGCGAAGAACCUUACCAGGUCUUGACAUCCUCUGACAAUCCUAGAGAUAGGACGUCCCCUUUGGGGGCAGAGUGACAGGUGGUGCAUGGUUGUUGUCAGCUCGUGUCAUGAGAUGUUGGGUUAAGUCCCGCAACGAGCGCAACCCUUGAUCUUAGUUGCCAGCAUUCAGUUGGGCACUUUAAGGUGACUGCCGGUGACAAACCGGAGGAAGGUGGGGAUGAAGUCAAAUCAUCAUGCCCCUUAUGACCUGGGCUACACACGUGCUACAAUGGACAGAACAAAGGGCAGCGAAACCGCGAGGUUAAGCCAAUCCCACAAAUCUGUUUUCAGUUCGGAUCGCAGUCUGCAACUCGACUGCGUGAAGCUGGAAUCGCUUGUAAUCGCGGAUCAGCAUGCCGCGGUGAAUACGUUCCCGGGCCUUGUACACACCGCCCGUUACACCACGAGAGUUUUAACACCCGAAGUAGGCGAGGUAACCCUUUGGAUCCAGCCGCCGAAGGUGGACAGGGAUUCGGGAAUCUAUAAGAGGUCAACAGCCCUACCUC